AUUCAAUCUUCCCAUACUGCAUUAUUGAGUUGAAUGUGAACAGUUUCUGCUUUUCUACCAUUCUUUCCAAAAAUAAAAUAAAUAAUUGAAGUGAAACAUGUGGGAGAACAAAGACCAUAUCUACUAUUGAAGGAGUUUAUGUAAAUAUGGGCGUUGGAUAUUACUGGCAUCUUGUAACACGCAGUACUUUGUUUCCACUUUUAGCUCUGUUGCUUUUCUGUUCAUCUUAUUGGCCUUUGUGGAAUUUUCAUAGAAGGAUUGCAAUGUUCCGGG
rnacentral:misc_RNA from 1 species